rnacentral:rRNA from 1 species
GACGAACGCUGGCGGCGUGCUUAACACAUGCGAGUCGAACGGAAAGGCCCUUCGGGGUUUUCGAGUGGCGAACGCGCGAGGCACACGUGGGUGAUCUUCCCUGCACUUUGGGUUAAGCCUGGGAUCCUGGGUCUAAUACUGAAUAGGACCACGCGCUUCAUGGUGUGUGGUGGAAAGCUUUUGCGGUGUGGGAUGGGCCGGCGGCCGAUAAGCUUGUUGGUGGGGUAUGGGCUAUCAAGGCCUCGACGGGGAGCCGGCCUGAGAGGGGGACCGGCAACAGUGGGACUGAGAUAGGGCCCAGACUCCUACGGGAGGCAGCAGUGGGGAAUAUUGCACAAUGGGCGAAAGCCUGAUGCAGCGACGCCGCGUGGGGGAUGACGGCCUUCGGGUUGGAAACCGCUUUCGAGAGGGACGAAGCGCAAGUGACGGUACCUAGAAAAGAAGCACCGGCCAACUACGUG